rnacentral:rRNA from 1 species
AUGGAUCAGCUUUUAAUUACAACGGACAAGUUUGAUGUAAAUCUAGGACAUGUCUCCGAAAGCUUCAAGGUCGAUAAAUCAGUAUGCACCGAAGCAAUCGAGCCCAUGCUAAUAAUCUUGAGAAAACAACUCAAUGGCACACGAAGAAAGAUUUUAUCGUUAAGCAACACUUUCCUUCUAACAUGUUCGUUGUGCGGGUUCGAGCAAGACGAAACUAUAAGUCAUUACUUCACCAUCAUAGUUAACAUGCAAAAACAAUGCUUUGAACUCCUUAACUCUUCAACUGCAUAUCCAGGCACAAUAGAAUUCUUCAACAAUGUAACCAGCAAACUAAUGAAAAUCUGGAAGCACAUAAGCAUAGAGCUACAGCUUUCAGAAAAAAGCAUCGACCAUUACAAAAAGGUCAGACUACAGGUGCCACUUCAAGGAGAAGACACAAUGGACUACGCAUUCUAUAUGUACAUGAACCUGAAGCACUACUCCAGUGAUGGAACAACAGCAACCUUAAAGCCAGAACAGGUACCAAAGUUUAGGAAAAAAAUUCUAUAUCAACUAAUCAGUCAACACAGAGGGAAUACCAAACUCUCACUAAUCAAGUGUACAACAGAUAUACUGAAGUAUGAAGUAGAUAUGGAAGACAAAGAAAUGCAACAGGCAGAAUGUUGCAUACUAGAAGAGUUUCCACCAACUCCCAGGACAAAAGAACAUACUAUGCGUGCGACAACCACACAAGAGCAUGAAGUUAUUGAUAUAUCCAGUAAACGCAAAGAGAUUAUGGAUGUCAGCAGCCACGCCGUCGCGCAACAAUCUUACACAGACCACGAACAAAAUGAUCCACCAAUAGAAUCGGAUCAACCACCACCAGACGACAACAUACCACACCAUGCUGAAGAGGAAACGGAUGAGAAAAAUAUCAACAGCAAUAUCACGACCAUAGAGCAACUGGAACAAACAGGCACUGAUUUAAAAGAGGAUGACAGAAGCAACGACAUACCAAAUACACAACAACAGGUUUCCGAGCAGAAGAAACAGCAUGUUCUUCUUCAAAAAGAAACAGGCUCGAUAAGCAAUCAGCAAGGCACCUCCAGCACCAUCUCUUUAGACUUCCUAAAACCAAAAACAAUGGAAAAGCUCGAAGAAGUUGAUGAAUUUCUUUCAAGCCUUAACCCACUACAACUAGACGUGUACAACGACCAUGUAAAGAUGGGCUUUCAGUUCGAUGUAAUCAAAACAUGGUCGACCGACCAUGAAAGCUAUGAAUUCAACAAAGAUGUCAAGCCAUAUCUGACAAUCUUGCAGCAAGAAUCAUGA